rnacentral:rRNA from 1 species
CCUACGGGAGGCAGCAGUGAGGAAUAUUGGUCAAUGGGCGCGAGCCUGAACCAGCCAAGUCGCGUGAGGGAAGACGGUCCUAUGGAUUGUAAACCUCUUUUGUCGGGGAGCAAAAGACGCCACGCGUGGCGUUCUGAAAGUACCCUAAGAAUAAGCAUCGGCUAACUCCGUGCCAGCAGCCGCGGUAAUACGGAGGAUGCGAGCGUUAUCCGGAUUUAUUGGGUUUAAAGGGUGCGUAGGCGGACGAUCAAGUCAGCGGUAAAAUUGGGGGGCUAAACCUCUUCGAGCAGUUGAAACUGGUUGUCUUGAGUGAGUGAGAGGUAGGCGGAAUGCGUGGUGUAGCGGUGAAAUGCAUAGAUAUCACGCAGAACUCCGAUUGCGAAGGCAGCAUACCGGCGCUCAACUGACGCUCAUGCACGAAAGUGUGGGUAUCGAACAGGAUUAGAUACCCCUGUAGUC